CGGAUUGUCCGUUGUGCGCUGGAGUUGGCCUGAGUUCGCGGCUUCGCGCGGGGCAUUAGGAAAGGGAAUGCCAGCGGCGAGUGACGUAACGCAGCCGACUCCUCUUAUCCAUGUCCCCGCCCCGUGUAUAAACUUCAUAUCCUUUCUCUUCUUCCUCCCGAAGCCGCCCCCCUCUCUCCCAUGGUUUGCCCCUUCUCGUACGCAAGGUCUUGGUAGAAGGGUAGCUUCAAGUUUCCUUUAGACAUACAGGCAUGGAGGGGGCUCUGUUCCAGUCAGCAAUUGUUCCUACUGUAUAUAACAGCUGCGCUCAGGUCCGUGGGCAUGCCAGGGCGACAUCGUUCCGUAGUAUGGAGACACAAACCAUUACCCUUGGAGGUUUUCAAGGACUGAGGAGGGCAAACUUUCUUGAUACGAAAUCUGUUGUCAGGCAUGAUUUCGGCUCUAUUGUGGCAAGUCAGCUUGCACGUCCAAGAGGGAAGGGGUCUAGAAUGGUUGUCCGUGCCAUGUUUGAGCGCUUCACAGAGAAAGCAAUCAAGGUGAUUAUGCUUGCUCAAGAGGAAGCAAGACGUCUAGGCCACAAUUUUGUUGGGACAGAGCAGAUCCUGCUUGGCCUUAUUGGUGAGGGUACAGGUAUUGCAGCUAAGGUUCUUAAGUCAAUGGGCAUCAAUCUUAAGGAUGCUCGUGUAGAAGUUGAGAAGAUCAUUGGGCGAGGCAGUGGUUUUGUGGCCGUUGAGAUUCCUUUCACACCCCGUGCAAAGCGUGUGUUGGAGCUGUCGCUAGAAGAAGCUCGUCAACUUGGUCAUAAUUACAUAGGAUCCGAACACUUGCUGCUGGGCUUGCUUCGUGAAGGUGAAGGUGUGGCUGCCCGAGUGCUAGAAAGUCUCGGCGCUGAUCCAAACAACAUCCGCGCACAGGUCAUAAGAAUGGUUGGUGAAAGCACAGAAGCUGUUGGUGCUGGUGCUGGUGGUGGAAGCAGUGGUCAAAAAAUGCCCACACUUGAAGAAUAUGGUACUAAUUUGACGAAACUAGCUGAAGAGGGUAAACUAGAUCCAGUUGUUGGCAGGCAGGACCAAAUUGAGCGUGUCACCCAAAUAUUAGGCAGGCGAACAAAGAACAACCCUUGCCUAAUUGGAGAGCCAGGUGUUGGCAAGACUGCUAUUGCAGAGGGACUUGCACAGCGUAUUACCAACGGGGAUGUUCCAGAAACAAUUGAAGGAAAAAAGGUUAUUACACUUGACAUGGGGCUGCUUGUUGCUGGCACCAAGUAUCGUGGAGAGUUUGAAGAAAGGCUGAAGAAGCUUAUGGAGGAAAUUAAGCAAAGUGAUGAUAUCAUUCUCUUCAUUGAUGAAGUGCACACUUUGAUUGGAGCUGGUGCAGCUGAGGGUGCAAUCGAUGCAGCCAACAUCUUGAAACCUGCUCUUGCAAGAGGUGAAUUGCAGUGUAUUGGUGCCACAACGCUGGACGAGUACAGAAAGCAUAUCGAGAAAGAUCCGGCACUGGAGAGAAGAUUUCAGCCAGUCAAGGUUCCAGAACCGACUGUUGAUGAAACCAUACAAAUUUUGAGAGGUCUUCGUGAGAGAUAUGAGCUUCACCAUAAGCUGCAAUAUACAGAUGAUGCUCUUGUUGCUGCUGCGAAAUUGUCAUACCAGUAUAUCAGUGAUCGUUUCCUGCCUGACAAAGCUAUCGACCUGAUUGAUGAAGCUGGAUCACGUGUCAGACUGAGGCAUGCUCAGCUCCCUGAUGAAGCCAAAGAAUUGGACAAAGAACUCCGCCAGGUUACCAAGGAUAAGAACGAGGCAGUACGUGGCCAAGAUUUUGAGAAGGCUGGGGAACUAAGAGACAGAGAAAUGGAACUGAAGGCACAGAUUACGGCCAUCAUUGACAAGAGCAAGGAAAUGGUCAAGGCAGAGAGCGAGUCUGGUGAAGUUGGUCCUUUGGUCACGGAGGCAGAUAUCCAGCAUAUUGUCUCCUCUUGGACUGGAAUACCUGUCGAGAAGGUUUCCGCUGAUGAAUCUGACCGUCUCCUGAAGAUGGAGGAAACACUGCAUCAACGUAUCAUUGGCCAGGACGAGGCUGUGAAAGCUAUUAGCCGUGCAAUCCGUCGAGCCCGUGUUGGCCUCAAGAACCCAAACAGACCUAUUGCUAGUUUUAUAUUCUCUGGACCAACCGGUGUUGGUAAAUCAGAACUUGCUAAAGCUUUGGCAUCGUACUACUUUGGCUCUGAGGAAGCCAUGAUCAGGCUUGAUAUGAGUGAGUUCAUGGAGAGACAUACUGUUUCGAAACUAAUUGGGUCGCCACCCGGAUAUGUUGGCUAUACUGAGGGUGGUCAAUUAACUGAAGCAGUUCGUCGUCGCCCUUACACAGUAGUUCUCUUUGAUGAGAUCGAAAAGGCACAUCCAGACGUCUUCAACAUGAUGCUUCAAAUACUGGAAGAUGGAAGAUUGACUGACAGCAAGGGGCGGACUGUUGAUUUCAAGAAUACACUGUUGAUCAUGACAUCUAAUGUUGGAAGCAGUGUCAUUGAGAAGGGAGGCCGCAAGAUCGGAUUUGACCUUGACUAUGAUGAGAAGGACACCAGCUACAACAGGAUUAAGAGCCUGGUGACUGAGGAGCUAAAGCAGUACUUCCGGCCUGAGUUCUUGAACAGAUUGGAUGAGAUGAUUGUUUUCCGCCAGCUGACAAAGCUGGAGGUGAAGGAAAUUGCAGACAUUAUGCUGAAAGAAGUGUUUGACAGGCUGAAGGUAAAGGAAAUCGACCUUCAAGUGACUGAAAGAUUCAGAGAUAGGGUGGUGGAUGACGGCUACAACCCAAGCUACGGUGCCAGGCCACUGCGGCGCGCUAUCAUGAGGCUGUUGGAAGACAGCCUGGCAGAAAAGAUGCUGGCUGGCGAGGUCAAAGAAGGUGAUUCCGCUAUCGUAGAUGUUGAUUCAGAAGGCAAAGUUAUAGUUCUCAAUGGUGGCAGCGGUGUCCUGGAGCCGCUGACACCUAUUUUGAGCACCUAAUCAUGCGGAGCACAUGAUUACGGAAUCCAUUGUUUCAGCACAAGCUGUGGCGUGGAGCUGCCACCAAUUCUCUUUCAUUAGGUGGUGUUGUGUCGUUAGAUAUUGCUUGCAAGCGAGGCACUAGAAGAUUCCUUAUAGCUCACCGGCCGCCUAGAUUUUCUGUUUUUGCUUUUGAAAGGAAUCUGGAGGCUUUAUUUUUGGGAUGCCGAUAUAUGCCAUACGUGUGGCACGAGGACCCCUAUGCACCAAGGCGAAUACUCAGCGCCGGCGCGCCGGCCGAAAGUUUCGGCCGGUCGCAUGCCAGCCGCUGGAUUACUUCAUUUGUGACGGUUAGAUUAGAACCCCCAAUCUUUUCCAUCCCUGGCUUCGUCUCAGAUCUGAUCGAGAGAUGGAAAACAACUUUGACCUGCUGUAGAGAAACUGCCCCCCGCAGGGCCGUGCCUCGUCUGCAGCGACACACCGUCUCCCCAUGGCCGUCGAAGCAUCCCCGGCGCCUUCUCGACCGUCGCCGUCAUCGACCACACUCACCGUCUCGCCAUCCGUUCGUGAUCUACACAUCAAAUCACGCCGUUCGUGGCCCUUGCCGUAGUCGGUUGCAGUAUACUUUACACUCGCUGUCGCAGCCCUCCUGUAUGUCUCCGGUGCAGCUCGCCAGCGGCACGGUCAAUGCGUCCCUCCAUUGCAAGCUCCACCUCUCCCCUGGAUGCAGCUUCCAUGUAGCAAAAAAACAUGUCGAUGGAAGCUUUUCCGGUUGCCGGUUGAAACAAAAUAAAGGCUCCGGCGUUGCCACCGCAUAAAUUACUCUCGAUGCAGCAAAAACAUACGCUAUUUCCAGCUCAAGGCUUCACGGGUUGUAGCAAAACAAUCUCCCGGUUCCAGCUUUGGCGUCGGGCGGUGGCA
rnacentral:rRNA from 1 species